UCACCAAGUGUGGAGUCCAGGGGACAGUUUGUCCUGAAGGGAGGUUCAAGGAGACUGGAGAAUGAAACAGCAGGUGCAUUCUGGGAUGCUUUUAUCCUAAUAAAACUCCUCCAAAGACUUUGCUGUUUUCCCUCUGCUCGAUAGCCAGGAUCUGGUUUCAGACCUGCCACCCCAUUCUCUCAGCAACACCUCCCUGCUUGGUGCUUGUCCCCAGCUGACCUCCAUCCAUUUCUAUCAUGUUUUAGACAGAAGCAUGAAGAGACCUGUGUGAGGUCAGACCGUGAAUGUCACAGCCAGAAAUCCGUCUCCACCACUUCUGCUACCUUCUCCAUCAUGCCACUUCCCACAAGGACCAGGGCAACACAGAUUAGCAUCUUUGCACCUUCUUGUGUGAAGCACAAGACAAAACCUUGGAUGCUCUGUUCAGCCCUGUAUUCUUCCUAG
rnacentral:lncRNA from 1 species